rnacentral:rRNA from 1 species
AUGAACGCUGGCGGCGUGCCUAAUACAUGCAAGUCGAGCGAACAGACGAGGAGCUUGCUCCUCUGACGUUAGCGGCGGACGGGUGAGUAACACGUGGAUAACCUACCUAUAGGACUGGGAUAACUUCGGGAAACCGGAGCUAAUACCGGAUAAUAUAUUGAACCGCAUGGUUCAAUAGUGAAAGACGGUUUUGCUGUCACUUAUAGAUGGAUCCGCGCCGCAUUAGCUAGUUGGUAAGGUAACGGCUUACCAAGGCAACGAUGCGUAGCCGACCUGAGAGGGUGAUCGGCCACACUGGAACUGAGACACGGUCCAGACUCCUACGGGAGGCAGCAGUAGGGAAUCUUCCGCAAUGGGCGAAAGCUUGACGGAGCAACGCCGCGUGAGUGAUGAAGGUCUUCGGAUCGUAAAACUCUGUUAUUAGGGAAGAACAAAUGUGUAAGUAACUAUGCACGUCUUGACGGUACCUAAUCAGAAAGCCACGGCUAACUACGUG